rnacentral:rRNA from 1 species
AUUGAACGCUGGCGGCAGGCCUAACACAUGCAAGUCGAACGAGUGGCGGACGGGUGAGUAAUGUCUGGGACACUGCGUGAGGGAGGGGGAUAACUACUGGAAACGGUAGCUAAUAACGCCUACCAUCGGAUGUGCCCAGAUGGGAUGAGCUAGUAGGUGGGGUAAAGGCUCACCUAGGCGACGAUCCCUAGCUGGUCUGAGAGGAUGCCCAGCCACACUGGAACUGAGACACGGUCCAGACUCCUACGGGAGGCAGCAGGGGGGAAUAUUGCACAAUGGGCGCAAGCCGGAUGCAGCCAGGCCGCGGGUAUGAAGAAGGCCUUCGGUUUGUAAAGUACUUUCAGCGGGGAGGCGUUACCCGCAGAAGAAGCACCGGCUAACUCCGUGCCAGCAGCCGCGGUAAUUC